GAUGAACGCUGGCGGCGUGCUUAACACAUGCAAGUCGAACGGAAAGGCCACAGCUUGCUGUGGUACUCGAGUGGCGAACGGGUGAGUAACACGUGGGUGAUCUGCCCUGUACUUCGGGAUAAGCUUGGGAAACUGGGUCUAAUACCGGAUAGGAAUCACAUGUGGGUGUGUGGUUGGAAAGCUUUUGCGGUAUGGGAUGAGCUCGCGGCCUAUCAGCUUGUUGGUGGGGUAAUGGCCUACCAAGGCGUCGACGGGUAGCCGGCCUGAGAGGGUGUACGGCCACAUUGGGACUGAGAUACGGCCCAGACUCCUACGGGAGGCAGCAGUGGGGAAUAUUGCACAAUGGGCGCAAGCCUGAUGCAGCGACGCCGCGUGGGGGAUGACGGCCUUCGGGUUGUAAACUCCUUUCGUCAGGGACGAAGCGAAAGUGACGGUACCUGGACAAGAAGCACCGGCUAACUACGUG
rnacentral:rRNA from 1 species